rnacentral:rRNA from 1 species
GAUGAACGCUAGCGGCAGGCUUAACACAUGCAAGUCGAGGGGUAUAGGGAGCUUGCUCCCUAGAGACCGGCGCACGGGUGCGUAACGCGUAUGCAAUCUACCUUUUACAGAGGGAUAGCCCAGAGAAAUUUGGAUUAAUACCUCAUAGUAUUAUAGGAUGGCAUCAUUUUAUAAUUAAAGUCACAACGGUAAAAGAUGAG